CCUACGGGAGGCUGCAGUGGGGAAUUUUGCGCAAUGGACGAAAGUCUGACGCAGCAACGCCGCGUGGGUGAUGAAGGUCUUCGGAUUGUAAAACCCUGUCGUCGAGGACGAAGGUGGGGGCGUUAACAGCGUUCUUGCUUGACGGUACUCGGAGAGGAAGCCCCGGCUAACUCUGUGCCAGCAGCCGCGGUAAUACAGAGGGGGCAAGCGUUAUUCGGAAUUAUUGGGCGUAAAGGGCGCGUAGGCGGUUUCUUAAGUCGGAUGUGCAAUCCCCGGGCUCAACCUGGGAACUGCAUCCGAGACUGGGAGGCUAGAGUACUGGAGAGGUUGGUGGAAUUCCACGUGUAGCGGUGAAAUGCGUAGAGAUGUGGAGGAACACCAGUGGCGAAGGCGGCCAACUGGACAGUAACUGACGCUGAGGCGCGAAAGUGUGGGUAGCAAACAGGAUUAGAUACCCCAGUAGUC
rnacentral:rRNA from 1 species